UGUGGAAGCCAAACUUUUUUUUUUCUUUUUUUUGAAGGAAAGUAAGAUAUCCAUUAAACCAAAUCACGAAGAAACAAAAUCAAAAGGGACAAGGCCCUACUUCUCAAGAUCAGACUGAGAAAAGACUUUGGUUGCAAUACAAUGGGCCACAUAAUUUGCUGAUCUGCCAACAAACUCAAUAGAGCAAGAAAUAAGCUCAUUUAGAAAUAAGUGGAACUGAAAUUCCUGAUAUACUGUGAAAGAAAAUGUACAGGGUUUCUCAAAACUGAAGUACAUUAGUCGGCCAACCAACUAUAGAAAACUUGGUUUGCCAAUGAUCAAGAAGAUAAGUAACUGUUAAUUUAAUAUUUUAACACAUCCUGUGAAUCUAACAAAAAAAAAAGACCUCAUAUAGAUUUUGUAGCUUCAGAUCCACUCAACCAUCUAAAAAAUUCAAUUUGGAAUUGGUACGAGUUUAUCAUAAUAUGAAACUGAGUUUUUUAAUCCAUCAACAUGUUAGCCAAAAUAGUAUGUAUCAACUUCCAUAAUGUUGAUCCAGAAAGCCAUGAAUUCAGCUCCCAUUAAUAGUUCCAACCCACAUAUGCUUUUCAUGGAGGUUGCAUCAUCAAACAACAAACCAGAAGCUCAUUUCACUUUCUUUUUAAUACGACAAUCCAAGCAUUACAAAUGAACUGCUUAGUUUCAAAUUAGGUACAAACAAACAAGCAAACCGUGUGAAAUUCCAAGUGCUAAAAACUUCCUGAAUAAAUUAAAAAUCCCAUAAAAACAAGCUAAAAAAAGAAUUCAAAAUAUGAAACUAAAUAAAGCUUCGGCUAUACAUCAUUUUAUAUAUUGAGCAAUGGAGAUUAUAUUCCUUGCCAGCAAAGAAAUUAAUACAAUCUUGAAUAAGUAUGAAUUGGACAAAGAGUACAUUCAUACCUUGCCAAGUGUGCAAGCGAGGGCCGCACCAGCGACGCCAGCACCGACGAUGAUGACGUCAGGACCAGAGCCAUCCUCUGGCGUCCGUACAUUGUCAUUUUGGGUCUUGAAGACAGCUUUUUCCUUAAACUUCCGCUUGUUCUCGAGGUUCUGGCGGUUUCGGAGCAAAAUGCAGAGAAG
rnacentral:misc_RNA from 1 species